rnacentral:rRNA from 1 species
CGAAUGCUGACAUAAGUAACGAUAAAGCGGGUGAAAAGCCCGCUCGCCGGAAGACCAAGGGUUCCUGUCCAACGUUAAUCGGGGCAGGGUGAGUCGACCCCUAAGGCGAGGCCGAAAGGCGUAGUCGAUGGGAAACAGGUUAAUAUUCCUGUACUUGGUGUUACUGCGAAGGGGGGACGGAGAAGGCUAUGUUGGCCGGGCGACGGUUGUCCCGGUUUAAGCGUGUAGGCUGGUUUUCCAGGCAAAUCCGGAAAAUCAAGGCUGAGGCGUGAUGACGAGGCACUACGGUGCUGAAGCAACAAAUGCCCUGCUUCCAGGAAAAGCCUCUAAGCAUCAGGUAACAUCAAAUCGUACCCCAAACCGACACAGGUGGUCAGGUAGAGAAUACCAAGGCGCUUGAGAGAACUCGGGUGAAGGAACUAGGCAAAAUGGUGCCGUAACUUCGGGAGAAGGCACGCUGAUAUGUAGGUGAAGUCCCUCGCGGAUGGAGCUGAAAUCAGUCGAAGAUACCAGCUGGCUGCAACUGUUUAUUAAAAACACAGCACUGUGCAAACACGAAAGUGGACGUAUACGGUGUGACGCCUGCCCGGUGCCGGAAGGUUAAUUGAUGGGGUUAGCG